rnacentral:lncRNA from 1 species
AUUGCAAUUGCACUUGGUUGGGCCCGUACCAAUCGAUAUUUACCGAUUCGAGCCAGAACAAAGAUGCAGACCGUCCCUAUUUCGGAUGGUCUUGUACGGUCCAUUAAAAAAUAUUCAAAGAGAACUCGUGAUUAGGGUUCAAGACUUCUUUCUCUCCAAGUGAACAUUGUGGUCCGUGGCAACCAUCGUGUGACGCUAACAUGGUUUCAAGUAUACAUUCUCCUCCUCUUCCUCUAUUGCCUCUUCUUCCUUCCAUUUCCUCCUUCCUCCGCCGCCUCUACUUCUUUUUUCCUCUUCCUCCUUCCUACUCUUCUUCGUUCCUCUUCCUCCACGCCUUAUCUUCUUCUUCAUCCACUUUGGUACCUGCUGGUGUAUCGAGUGUCGAUAAACCGAUAUUAGCCGCUCCGGUAUAAGAUGAUGUUCCUUGCUACAGGUGCUGAUGAUUACCUCUACCAAGGUUUGCAAUAUCGUACCGUACCGGUAUUUCGAUCUGGGCUCGGUACCGGUACGGUACGGUAUACCGAGCGAUACACCCAGGUGUACCGAGUACUAUAGCACUGCUACAGUGCUACAGUAGCAUGCUACAGUGCACUCGGGCCAGUAACAGUCGAUCCGCGUACCGACAACCUGUCGGACCGGUACAUACCGCCCGUACCGGGCGGUACAGCUCGGUACGGCAGACCCUGACCUCUACGACCACCAGGCACCAGGAAUGCAAACAGGUCAAACUGAUCAAAACAGGAUUGUCUCCUAACAAAGAUGAUCCCAUGUAACCUGACAUUAGUCUUAUAUUUAAUGAUAAAUAGAAGAAGUAAUAGUAUGGUUGACAACCCAAAUGUGAUCUUCCCUGGCCUAGGACAUCCAGAUAGUACUUGCAACAUGACUCAAAUUGUUGCUCAGUGUUGGGAGGGUUCUCAGUUGUUCUUGACAGCCACAAACCGUGGAUCUCACAUUCAAAGACCAGGAUCACUAAAGCCAAGUCUACACAUUCUUCAUGGUCUAAAAAGACUUAAUUUCUUGUAGUUCUCAAAUGAUAUAUGGCUACAGUAUCCAGAAGCAGCCACUCGCAUCAAGUUAAAUUACUUGUAGGCCUGUGUCCAGCACAGGCAUGUAAUUUGAACUCCUAUUUAAAACUUCAUAUUUUGUAUAUG